GACGAACGCUGGCGGCGUGCUUAACACAUGCAAGUCGAACGGAAAGGCCCUGCUUUUGUGGGGUGCUCGAGUGGCGAACGGGUGAGUAACACGUGAGUAACCUGCCCUUGACUUUGGGAUAACUUCAGGAAACUGGGGCUAAUACCGGAUAGGAGCUCCUGCUGCAUGGUGGGGGUUGGAAAGUUUCGGCGGUUGGGGAUGGACUCGCGGCUUAUCAGCUUGUUGGUGGGGUAGUGGCUUACCAAGGCUUUGACGGGUAGCCGGCCUGAGAGGGUGACCGGCCACAUUGGGACUGAGAUACGGCCCAGAAUCCUAAGGGAGGGAGGAGGGGGGAAUAUUGCACCAUGGGCGGAAGCCUGAUGCAGCAACGCCGCGUGCGGGAUGACGGCCUUCGGGUUGUAAACCGCUUUCGCCUGUGACGAAGCGUGAGUGAAGGUAAUGGGUAAAGAAGCAACGGCUAACUACGUG
rnacentral:rRNA from 1 species